rnacentral:rRNA from 1 species
UGGGGAAUAUUGCACAAUGGGCGCAAGCCUGAUGCAGCCAUGCCGCGUGUAUGAAGAAGGCCUUCGGGUUGUAAAGUACUUUCAGCGAGGAGGAAGGCGUUGUGGUUAAUAACCGCAACGAUUGACGUUACUCGCAGAAGAAGCACCGGCUAACUCCGUGCCAGCAGCCGCGGUAAUACGGAGGGUGCAAGCGUUAAUCGGAAUUACUGGGCGUAAAGCGCACGCAGGCGGUAUGUCAAGUCGGAUGUGAAAUCCCCGGGCUCAACCUGGGAACUGCAUCCGAAACUGGCAGGCUAGAGUCGUGUAGAGGGGGGUAGAAUUCCAGGUGUAGCGGUGAAAUGCGUAGAGAUCUGGAGGAAUACCGGUGGCGAAGGCGGCCCCCUGGACAAAGACUGACGCUCAGGUGCGAAAGCGUGGGGAGCAAACA